rnacentral:rRNA from 1 species
AUGGCUUGGCGGGCGCGAGAUGAGGCUGGAGGAGAGGCCGAGGCGUGGCUUGGCGCCUACCAGAGCCACGAGGCCGCCGCCGCCGGCGUCGGACGUCCAAGUCAGUCGCGGCAAACGGCCGUUGCAGGUGUAAGGACCAAAGCAAGGCAACGACACAAGGCCGGGCAUCGGAGCAGAGCAAAGGAAAUAAGAGACACACACAGAGGAGGGGAGAGCGACGAGGGAUCUAGCGGCGGCACUCGCUCCGGUGGAACGUGGAGCGCCAGCAACUUUGGUGGAGGCUUCACAUCUGCGCCUGUGUGA